rnacentral:lncRNA from 1 species
UUCAUUGAUCUCAAUGUCCAACCUUAAUCACCUGACAAAAUCUCGUACCUAUAUAAACAAAUCAAACUCCACCUCAAACUAACCACAUCUCAAAACCAGACCAAACCAAAAUGAAUCCAUCAACUCUCCUCUUCACCAUUUCCUUCCUCUUCCUAUCAACCGCCGCCGCCUCCACCACCGGAGCGUACGUGAGUGCGGCGGUGAAGGAGAAGGUGCUUAAGAGUGUUAAGAAGGUUGGGACGUUCACUAGUAAUGCUUUGGCUCUCGCUGACAAGCUUAGCUAUUGACUGUAAUUUACUAGUUAAUUAAUUAUUUUUGGGUUGUGGUUAAUUUUUAUUAUUAGUUAAUAAUUGCGUACGUGAGUGCGGCGGUGAAGGAGAAGGUGUGGAAGAGUGUUAAGAAGGUUGGGACGUAUACUAGUAAUGCUUUGGCUCUCGUUGACAAGCUUAGCUAUUGACUGUAAUUUUUUACUUGUUAAUUAUUUGGGGGGUUGUGGCUAAUUUUAAUUUAUUAGUUAAUAAUUAUUUUGUGCUUUUUCUAUCUUUUUUACUUUUUUGAGUGUGUAAUUUGGUUUUGAUUAUUAGUUAAAUAACUAAUGACUUAAUUAAGAAUUAGUUUUUUUUAUAAUAAACAAACUAAGACAAUUAAGGCAUAAGGUGGGGACGAUCUCAAGUCAUUGUAAACAAUUUAGGUUGCCAUUGUAGGAUCGGAUACAUCAAUGGAGUAUGUUCCAAGAGGUAGGUUGUGGCCGCUGUUAUUAGAUUAAGCAAUGAAUACUCGGAAACUAAAUAAAUAAUUACAGAACUGAGGAUGAAUUUCGGAAAAGAUCAGAUAGAAUAAAACUAGAUUAUGACUGUUGCAAUAGAGCAGCGCCCUACGAAUUAGUUUCUGAUGAAAAUAGUUGUAAAUAGUUUAAAAACUAAUGACUUAGUUAAGAAUUAGUUUCAAUGAAGUAUCAAAAUGGACGAAAAUUGAACUUUCAUUAUCCAAGUACUGGGCCAUUGCCUCUGGGCUUCCACCAAUAUUAAAAAGCCCAACAAAUAUUGGAUAUCUGUGGACUGUGGCCCAAAGUGUCAUGUGAGUUUUAUUAGAAGUUCAAUGCUUGCUUAUUGGCCCAACCGAAGUAAGGUCGGUGAGUCGGUUUAGUGGCUCGACCAUUUCUAUUCCGAAAAUUCUUUAACGAAUAUUGUAAUAUGAUUCCCACAGCCACAUCAAUAAUUUUGAAAAUUACGUCAUUCAACAAUUUCAAUCCAUCUUCAUCCUCUUAAUUUUUUAACAGGUAAGGAUAGAAAAAUAAGAAGAAAGAACAUAGGGAAAAGAAGAUAAAAAUAGGUGUAGAGUUACAAAUUUAGUAAACAUUUAUGCAUUUGAAGUAAUUGCUAAAUGAAGUGUUAUUUUAUUCUCCGUGUUAUUUACAAUUUAGAAAUUAAGAUACUUUUAAAUACGAAGCUAAUUUCGUUAAAGCAGAUUGUACCGUGACUCGAAAUGGUCACAUUCCCAAAAUUUGUUUUGGCUAAAAUGUGUUGCAAGUUCGAAUCUAGUGAUGUUCAAGAAGUGUCUCAAGAAGUCAAACUAUGAACAAUUUCUUGCCCACAACUUGGAUGUCAGACUAAUCAAUCAAUUGGUAGUGCUUUAGAUAGUUCCUCAUCUGGCGCCGUGAUUUUCGCUGACUUGCAAGUUGCAACCUGUUUCUUACUGAUCGUACAAUGAUGUACACUUAAUGUUCUAAAUUGUGGGGAGGAAUUGUUGAAAUUCGAUUAUUAUUAUUUUUAUAACGAAAAAUCCCUUUCACGGAUCUAUUUAGUGAUAUUAUUUUUAGAAAAACUACAGCGUUGUGAGACAGUUCAGGUGACACGGGUGAUGAUUGUGCAUUAUGAAUUUUGAACGCAAAAUUUCUAAAAAUAAAGUCAAAUAUUAUAAUCACUCAAUUAUUAUUUUUUGAUACGAGCGCCAUUGGAUAAAAAUGUAAAACAGUUAAUUUAAACAUUACAAUAAAAAUAUCGAAAAAAUUAGAUAGAAAAUAAGUUGAAUUUUGGUCACACUUACUAUCAUUUUAAAAGCUUUGUAAUCUCUAAACCAAACCGAAAAAUGAAUCCAUCAACUCUCCUCUUCACCAUUUCCUUCCUCUUCCUAUCAACCGCCGCCGCCUCCACCACCACCACCGCCAGUACCAAAAAUUACAAAACCUACUUAAAAUCCGCAUGCUCAUCCGCCACGUACCCA